CAAAAAUAAAAGUUGCCAUCAACAAACCGAAAAACACGGAAACAAAACACGGUGCAAAAAUUCGCACCGCAGGAAGAAUGUUUAGCCAGAAAUCUGGCAGGCAUAGAACAGACUCGGAUUUGACAGGCGUCAAACCUAAACCUCAAAGGUUGGCAGCAUUGAACUGUCAUUGCGCUUCCGGAAAACUGCACAGAAAGUGCAAGGAAAAAAAGAAAAAGUGCGCCAUUGGUGUGACGAACGCCGCUCCCCGGAGAAGCAACGAUUUGCGGACAAAUUUGAAGCUACGCUCCGCGGAAAGAGCCAGGAACACCGCUCGAUCCCAGAAUCGGGAGGAGACGAGAACGGCACGCUAAACGAGGAGUCGUCGUGAAUCCACCAAUUGGUCGCCACAAAAUCCGCCAAUCGAUUCCGUGCACGUCGGGCGAAGAGUGGCUAGUUCCGAGCCACAGCAAAGACAGACAGGAAGAGAGCAAGAUAAAAAAAAAGGGGUCAGACAUGUGCUGUAAGUACCCAACAAUACAGAAAAAGAGUUCAUGCCUGACCAAGAUAUUUUUGUU